CAAUAGCGUAUAUUGAAGUUGUUGCGGUUAAAAAGCUCGUCGUUGGAUUUCUGUUGAGGUCGAACCGUGCCGCCCUAUGGGUGCGCAACUGGCUCGGCUUCGGCAUCUUCUUGGAGAGCGCAUCUGCACUUAACUGUGUGGAUCGUACUUCAAGUCAGUUACUUUGAGGAAUUGUGAGUGUUUCAAGCAGGCUUACGCCGUUGAAUCCGUUAGCAUGGAAUAAUAGGAUAGGACCUCGGUUCUAUUUUGUUGGUUUUGAGAGCUGGGGCAGCGAUUGAUAGGGACGGAUGGGGGCGUCCGAACUUUACUGUCAGAGGUGAAAUUCUUAGAUCGGUUAAAGGCGAACUACUGCGAACGCAUUCGCCAAGAAUGUUUNCUUUA
rnacentral:rRNA from 1 species